rnacentral:rRNA from 1 species
AGCGUAGACGGUUUGGCAAGUCUGAUGUGAAAGCCCGGGGCUCAACCCCGGGACUGCAUUGGAAACUGUUGAACUAGAGUGCAGGAGAGGUAAGUGGAAUUCCUAGUGUAGCGGUGAAAUGCGUAGAUAUUAGGAGGAACACCAGUGGCGAAGGCGGCUUACUGGACUGUAACUGACGUUGAGGCUCGAAAGCGUGGGGAGCAAACA